AGUGAACGCUGGCGGCGUGCCUAAUACAUGCAAGUCGAACGGAGUGGCGCACGGGUGAGUAAUGUAUAGCUAAUCUGCCCUACACUAGAGGACAACAGUUGGUAACGACUGCUAAUACUCUAUAGUGUAUGAUGAGGCUAUAUUGUAUCAGCUAGUUGGUGAGUUAAUGGCUCACCAAGGCUAUGACGCAUAACUGGUCUGAGAGGAUGAUCAGUCACACUGGAACUGAGACACGGUUCAGACACAUUCGGGAAGCAGCAGUAGGGAAUAGUGCUCAAUGGGGGAAGACCAGAAGCAUCAACGCCGCGUGGAGGAUGACACUUUUCGAAGCGUAAACUACUUUUGUUAGGGAAGCGGUACCUAACGAAUAAGCACCGGCUAACUCCGUGCCAGCAGCCGCGGUAAUAC
rnacentral:rRNA from 1 species